ensembl:lncRNA
CUUUGUCACAGGAGUAGGCUUAAAACUUUGAUGGUGCCAAUUAGUAGGCCUAAACAACAAGCAAAUAGCCACGACAGGAGAUUCAGCCCCAUUCCAGUGGACAGCAACUGAAUUGGAAUCCCGCAAUCUGACGUUCAGCACCACAGUGCAGUACCCAACACUCAGUUAAAGCAAAAAAAGUGGGGCUGCAGUUAAGACGAACGCGUGUGUGUGUGGGGGGGGGACAUGUGCAACCCAUAGCUCAAAAUGUACAGCAUCUAUUCUCAACCUGACCCCUACUGACCUGGAGGAGUGUGAGCAGUCUGUCUCUGUCUCUGAACCAGAGCAUCUGAAGACACUGCUGCAGCAUCAUAGACAUCCUGGGCACCUUAAAGAAGCUAAGGAUCCCUCAGAUGUUCUCUUCUACGAUUCUGA